UACAGAGGGUGCAAGCGUUGUUCGGAAUUAUUGGGCGUAAAGGGCGCGUAGGCGGGCGGUCAAGUCAGGGGUGAAAUCUUUCGGCCUAACCGGAAAAGGGCCUCUGAUACUGGCCGUCUCGAGGGAGGUAGGGGCAUGCGGAACUUCCGGUGGAGCGGUGAAAUGCGUAGAUAUCGGAAGGAACGCCGGUGGCGAAAGCGGCGUGCUGGACCUCUUCUGACGCUGAGGCGCGAAAGCCAGGGGAGCGAACGGG
rnacentral:rRNA from 1 species